GUGCCAGCCGCCGCGGUAACACGUAGGAGCCUAGCGUUAUCCGAAUUUACUGGGCGUAAAGCGCGUGUAGGCGGUUCGGUAAGUUGGGUGUGAAAUCUCCUGGCUCAACUGGGAGAGGUCGCUCAAUACUGUCGAGCUUGAGGAUGGUAGAGGGAGGUGGAAUUCCGGGUGUAGUGGUGAAAUGCGUAGAUAUCCGGAGGAAUACCAGUGGCGAAGGCGGCCUCCUGGACCAUUUCUGACGCUCAGACGCGAAAGCUAGGGGAGCGAACGGGAUUAGAAACCCCUGUAGUCC
rnacentral:rRNA from 1 species